rnacentral:rRNA from 1 species
CUACGUGCCAGCAGCCGCGGUAAUACGUAGGGUGCGAGCGUUAAUCGGAAUUACUGGGCGUAAAGCGGGCGCAGACGGUUACUUAAGCAGGAUGUGAAAUCCCCGGGCUCAACCUGGGAACUGCGUUCUGAACUGGGUGACUAGAGUGUGUCAGAGGGAGGUAGAAUUCCACGUGUAGCAGUGAAAUGCGUAGAGAUGUGGAGGAAUACCGAUGGCGAAGGCAGCCUCCUGGGAUAACACUGACGUUCAUGCCCGAAAGCGUGGGUAGCAAACAGGAUUAGAUACCCUGGUAGUCCACGCCCUAAACGAUGUCGAUUAGCUGUUGGGCAGCAUGACUGCUUAGUAGCGAAGCUAACGCGUGAAAUCGACCGCCUGGGGAGUACGGUCGCAAGAUUAAAACUCAAAGGAAUUGACGGGGACCCGCACAAGCGGUGGAUGAUGUGGAUUAAUUCGAUGCAACGCGAAGAACCUUACCUGUGG